rnacentral:rRNA from 1 species
CAGAGACUGCAAGCGUUAUUCGGAUUCACUGGGCGUAAAGGGUGCGCAGGCGGCCGUGUGUGUGAGGCGUGAAAGCCCGGGGCUUAACCCCGGAAUUGCACCUCAAACUACAUGGCUAGAGCAUUGGAGAGGGUAGCAGAAUUCAUGGUGUAGCAGUGAAAUGCGUAGAUAUCAUGAGGAAUACCAGAGGCGAAGGCGGCUACCUGGACAAUUGCUGACGCUCAGGCACGAAAGCGUGGGGAGCAAAAGGGAUUAGAUACCCCUGUAGUCCACGCCCUAAACGGUGCACACUAGGUCUUGGCGGAUUCGACCCCACCAGGGCCCAAGCUAACGCGUUAAGUGUGCCGCCUGAGGACUACGGCCGCAAGGCUA